AGAGUUUGAUCAUGGCUCAGAACGAACGCUGGCGGCGUGCCUAACACAUGCAAGUCGAACGGGGAUAAGUAGCUUGCUAUUUAUUCUAGUGGCGCACGGGUGAGUAACGCGUAGAUAAUCUGCCUUAGACUCUGGGAUAACAUCUCGAAAGGGGUGCUAAUACCGGAUAAGCCCACGAAGACGUGAGUCUUUGCGGGAAAAGGGGGCCUCUGUAUAUGCUCUUGAUCUAAGAUGAGUCUGCGUACCAUUAGCUUGUUGGUAGGGUAAUGGCCUACCAAGGCGACGAUGGUUAGCUGGUCUGAGAGGAUGAUCAGCCACACUGGGACUGAGACACGGCCCAGACUCCUACGGGAGGCAGCAGUGGGGAAUUUUGCGCAAUGGGGGAAACCCUGACGCAGCAACGCCGCGUGAGUGAUGAAGGCUUUCGGGUCGUAAAGCUCUGUCUAGAGGGAAGAAGUGAUUAGUGGUUAAUACCCAUUAUUCUUGACGGUACCUCUGAAGGAAGCACCGGCUAACUCCGUGCCAGCAGCCGCGGUAAUACGGAGGGUGCAAGCGUUGUUCGGAAUUAUUGGGCGUAAAGAGCGUGUAGGCGGCUGAAUAAGUCAGAUGUGAAAUCCCUGGGCUUAACCCAGGACGUGCAUUUGAAACUAUUCAGCUUGAGUAGGGGAGAGGAAA
rnacentral:rRNA from 1 species